GAUGAACGCUGGCGGCGUGCCUAAUACAUGCAAGUAGAACGCUGAAGGAGGAGCUUGCUCUUCUGGAUGAGUUGCGAACGGGUGAGUAACGCGUAGGUAACCUGCCUGGUAGCGGGGGAUAACUAUUGGAAACGAUAGCUAAUACCGCAUGACAACAGUUAUUGCAUGAUAACUGUUUAAAAGGGGCAACUGCUCCACUACCAGAUGGACCUGCGUUGUAUUAGCUAGUUGGUGAGGUAACGGCUCACCAAGGCGACGAUACAUAGCCGACCUGAGAGGGUGAUCGGCCACACUGGGACUGAGACACGGCCCAGACUCCUACGGGAGGCAGCAGUAGGGAAUCUUCGGCAAUGGACGGAAGUCUGACCGAGCAACGCCGCGUGAGUGAAGAAGGUUGUCGGAUCGUAAAGCUCUGUUGUAAGAGAAGAACGAGUGUGAGAGUGGAAAGUUCACACUGUGACGGUAUCUUAACAGAAAGGGACGGCUAACUACGUG
rnacentral:rRNA from 1 species